rnacentral:rRNA from 1 species
AGGGAAUAGAUACCCUGGUAGUCCACGCCCUAAACGAUGUCGACUGGCUUUCCGGAGUAUCGACCCUCUGGGAGGCGAAAGCUAAACGCGUUAAGUCGACCGCCUGGGUAGUACGGCCGCAAGGCUAAAACUACAAAGGAAUAGACGGGAGCUUGCACAAGCGGUGGAGCGUGUGGCUCAAUUCGUCGCUAAGCGAAGAACCUUACCAGGGCUAGAAAUCCUACUGCACGCCUCUCGAAAGAGAGGAAGCCUCCGAGGGUGUAGGACAGGUGAUGCAUGGCUGUCGUCAGUUCGUGGUUUGAAUCGUUCCCUUCAGUGGGGUAACGAACGCAACCCUCGUUGCCUGUUACAAGUGUCAGGCGAGACUGCCCCCUCACGGGGGAGGAAGGUGGGGAUGACGCCAA